rnacentral:rRNA from 1 species
UACAGAGGGGGCAAGCGUUGUUCGGAAUUACUGGGCGUAAAGGGCGCGUAGGCGGCCUUCUAAGUCGAACGUGAAAUCCCCGGGCUCAACCCGGGAACUGCGUCCGAUACUGGAAGGCUUGAAUCCGGGAGAGGGAUGCGGAAUUCCAGGUGUAGCGGUGAAAUGCGUAGAUAUCUGGAGGAACACCGGUGGCGAAGGCGGCAUCCUGGACCGGCAUUGACACUGAGGCGCGAAAGCCAGGGGAGCAAACGGG